CGUGCAGGCGGCUCGUUAAGUCUGAUGUGAAAGCCCCGGGCUCAACCCGGGAAGUGCAUUGGAAACUGGCGAACUUGAGUAUGGGAGAGGGAAGUGGAAUUCCGAGUGUAGGGGUGAAAUCCGUAGAUAUUCGGAGGAACACCAGUGGCGAAGGCGGCUUCCUGGACCAAUACUGACGCUGAGACGCGAAAGCGUGGGGAGCAAACA
rnacentral:rRNA from 1 species